AGAGACAGCAGCAGCCGCGGGAAUACGAAGGGGGCUAGCGUUGUUCGGAAUUACUGGGCGUAAAGCGCACGUAGGCGGAUAUUUAAGUCAGGGGUGAAAUCCCGCAGCUCAACUGCGGAACUGCCUUUGAUACUGGGUAUCUUGAGUAUGGAAGAGGUUAGUGGAAUUGCGAGUGUAGAGGUGAAAUUCGUAGAUAUUCGCAGGAACACCAGUGGCGAAGGCGGCUAACUGGUCCAUAACUGACGCUGAGGUGCGAAAGCGUGGGGAGCAAACAGGAUUAGAUACCCCAGUAGUCCCUGUCUCUUAUAU
rnacentral:rRNA from 1 species